AACAGCCCACGUUUAGUAAACAUUUUUUUAUUGAAACUAUAAAUAAAUAUUCUGCAUCCAUUUUAGGUGUGCCACUGUGGGUGGCUCCCGCACACCCGUGGCUACGCCCCUGCCGUGACCCAAAUCUCGUUCGCACAUCAUCGGGAUAUUUAUCAUCAAUUUACAAACGUCGCCAGUCGCCGCAUCUUUGUUUUGGCCAGUUAUGUCAGGAAGCUGCAACUAUUUCAAAGCAUCUUGAAAUGAAAGCUGACAAUUCUGAACUUGAAGCAGCUACCAGAGAGGCUGAAGAAAUUCUACAAAUGUUCAAUCCUCCACUGAAGACCAAACGAGCGAUUUCCUGGACUCAACAGACACAUUGAACUUUGCACUGCAUUUCAAAGCCAGCUCCUCAGCCGCAACACCGAGAACCAGAGUUGAGGUCAAUGUACUGCUAAGAAAAGUGCAAGAUCUGUUUAACCAAAAAUAUAAGGAUGCUGGAGGUACUGGAAGGCUCCCCUGGUAAAUCAAGGCAUGACAGUUAAAGUUGCAGGACUGCCCAACAGCCUCAAAAAGCCAUCCAAUUAAGGAAGGAACCAGUUGGAGGCCAUUUUGCAAGCUGCUGAGGAGAUUUCAUUUGAAAUCAACGACAGACUCUUCUACAUCGGCCCCAGUAGGCAGUACAUGCGUCUAGUUGUCCUGUCAGAGGAAGAGAAGUUGUCUGUUCUCGAGGAGUGCCACAAUAACCCUGAAACUGGCAAUCAAUGUGGUGUCAGAGGCACUCAAAACAGGGUAAUUGCUGGCUACUACUGGUCUACAAUAAUCCACGAUGUAAAAGAAUGGGUGAGAUCUCGUCACCGCUGCGUAUUAAAUGAUCCCAUUAAGACUGUUGUGCCAGUCUUGCAUUCAAUUAAGGUGAAAGAAGCUCGGGAGGUGCUUGGUUUGGAUUUAAUUGGACUGCUGCCAGAAACCGCACGCAGCAACAAGUAUGUCCUUACCAUGACCGACCUGUACACCAAGUGGGUGAUUGCAGAACCCAUGCAAUCGAAGACAGCGCCUGAGGUGUCAGCAAUAGUAACCACAAAGUUGCACUUGUUCG